AUUGAACGCUGGCGGCAGGCCUAACACAUGCAAGUCGAGCGGAUGAAGGGAGCUUGCUCCUGGAUUCAGCGGCGGACGGGUGAGUAAUGCCUAGGAAUCUGCCUGGUAGUGGGGGAUAACGUCCGGAAACGGGCGCUAAUACCGCAUACGUCCUGAGGGAGAAAGUGGGGGAUCUUCGGACCUCACGCUAUCAGAUGAGCCUAGGUCGGAUUAGCUAGUUGGUGGGGUAAAGGCCUACCAAGGCGACGAUCCGUAACUGGUCUGAGAGGAUGAUCAGUCACACUGGAACUGAGACACGGUCCAGACUCCUACGGGAGGCAGCAGUGGGGAAUAUUGGGCAAUGGGCGAAAGCCUGAUCCAGCCAUGCCGCGUGUGUGAAGAAGGUCUUCGGAUUGUAAAGCACUUUAAGUUGGGAGGAAGGGCAGUAAGUUAAUACCUUGCUGUUUUGACGUUACCAACAGAGUAAGCACCGGCUAACUUCGUG
rnacentral:rRNA from 1 species